UACGGAGGGUGCGAGCGUUGUCCGGAAUCACUGGGCGUAAAGGGCGCGUAGGCGGCAGGCCAAGUGUGCGGUGAAAGUCCGGGGCUCAACCCCGGAUCUGCCGUGCGGACUGGUUUGCUAGAGCACUGUAGAGGCGAGUGGAAUUCCGGGUGUAGCGGUGGAAUGCGUAGAGAUCCGGAAGAACACCGGUGGCGAAGGCGGCUCGCUGGGCAGUGGCUGACGCUGAGGCGCGACAGCGUGGGGAGCAAACAGG
rnacentral:rRNA from 1 species